CCCCUAGAUGUUCUGGGCCGCACGCGCGCUACACUGAACAGUUCAACAAGUCUUAACCUUGGCCGAUAGGUCUGGGUAAUCUUUGAACGCUGUUCGUGAUUGGGAUAGACCUUUGCAAUUAUGGGUCUUCAACGAGGAAUUCCUAGUAAACGCGAGUCAUCAGCUUGCAUUGAUUACGUCCCUGCCCUUUGUACACACCGCCCGUCGCACCUACCGAUUGAAUGGUCCGGUGAAAUCUCGGGACGGCGGCUUGGUCGCUUGCGUCCGACUGCUGAAACUUGAUUAAACCAUAUCAUUUAGAGGAAGGUGAANUCGUANCA
rnacentral:rRNA from 1 species